GCUGGUUUAGCUCACUGGUUAGAGCGCUCCACUAUCCAAAACACAAGUUAUGACAGGAGAGAAGGCUGGUUCAAUUCCGCCAAUCGGCA